rnacentral:other from 1 species
AUCAGUUACAUCUUGUUACUGUUGGCCGAUAGAAGGGGGCACGGUUUAAGUGGGGCUGCGUGACGCGCGAUGUUUCUUGCUUUAACGGCUCGUGUGAUAGUUUAUAUUUGAAAGAUGCUUUUAUGGCAACAGGUACUGUCAAGUGGUUCAACGAUUCCAAAGGCUUCGGCUUUAUCACUCCGGAUGACGGCGGCGAAGAUCUGUUCGCCCACUUCUCCGCAAUCCAGAUGAACGGCUUCAAGACCCUGAAAGAAGGUCAAAAAGUCCAGUUUGACGUCACGCAAGGCCCGAAGGGCAAGCAAGCAUCGAACAUCCAGAACGCCGCCUAAACCCCGGUCUUCUCUGAAAAGCCCCGCCCCGCGGGGCUUUUUUC